AUUGAACGCUAGCGGGAUGCCUUACACAUGCAAGUCGAACGAGUGGCGGACGGGUGAGUAAUAUAUCGGAACGUGCCCAGUAGCGGGGGAUAACUACUCGAAAGGGUGGCUAAUACCGCAUACUCUUGGAGCGGCCGAUAUGGGAUUAGCUAGUAGGUGAGGUACUGGCUCACCUAGUCGACGGUCCCUAGCUGGUCUGAGAGGACGACCAGCCACACUUGGACUGAGACACGGCCCAGACUCCUACGGGAGGCAGCAGUGGGGAAUUUUGGACAAUGGGGGAAACCCUGAUCCAGCCAUCCCGCGUGUAUGAGAAGGCCUUCGGGUUGUAAAGUACUGUUCGCAGAGAGGCGGUAUCUGCAGAAUAAGCAACGGCUAACUACGUGCCAGCAGCCGCGGUAAUAC
rnacentral:rRNA from 1 species